ACUAGGAGGGUAGUGAUUGGUCAGAGGGGUUGAUGGGGAGUUAUGCAUGGUGUGGAGUCACAUUUAUUACUAGUAUGUUAAGGUGGCUAAUGUUAGCUGUAUUGGAUGUUUUUUUUCCAAAUAAAAUCAAACUUUAUUUAUAAAAGGGUUUUACUAUUAAAGAAAAUAACCCACCACUCUUCACCACCCCUCCUCUCCAUGAACAUGUUGCUAACAAGAACUAUCCCUUGGUCACAUACACUUGUCCUUAAGGGUACUGUAGGGUUUUGGGUUGUCCAGGCCUGUGUGGAGAGACAGGUACGACCACUCGGGAUUCAAGAAGCAAGACUUUAAUUUCACCUCCGAGACCUCUGCUCUGCACCCCGUCUGCUUUGAUCAAGCCCACAAAACCGCUUGGACCACACGCGCGCUCGCCGGUGCACGAACACAGAGAACUCACAAGUGAAGUCGGCUGUUUACACUUUUUCUUUGUAUGUGCAUGCAAAUGUUUUUGCUUUUCUUGCUACUCCUAUUUUUUUUUUUUAUUUGUAGAGAUAUGUCUUUGGUGCUGCAGGCAAGAAAACUGGGAGUCCAGUAAUGAGCAGCAGCAGUGUUGGAGUCGUACCACCUACUGGUCCCCCCCUUUGGGCAGAAGAGACACUAACUCUCACUCUUGGGGAACUGCAGUCCCCACUACACCCAAAACUGAAAACAUUAAAUAAUGAUUUUCUUUUGUUAUA